AGAGUUUGAUCAUGGCUCAGGACGAACGCUGGCGGCGUGCUUAACACAUGCAAGUCGAACGGAAAGGCCCUUCGGGGUACUCGAGUGGCGAGCGGGUGAGUAACACGUGGGUGAUCUGCCCUGCACUUUGGGAUAAGCCUGGGAAACUGGGUCUAAUACCGAAUAUGACCAUGCACUUCCUGGUGUGUGGUGGAAAGCUUUUGCGGUGUGGGAUGGGCCCGCGGCCUAUCAGCUUGUUGGUGGGGUAAUGGCCUACCAAGGCGACGACGGGUAGCCGGCCUGAGAGGGUGACCGGCCACACUGGGACUGAGAUACGGCCCAGACUCCUACGGGAGGCAGCAGUGGGGAAUAUUGCACAAUGGGCGCAAGCCUGAUACAGCGACGCCGCGUGAGGGAUGACGGCCUUCGGGUUGUAAACCUCUUUCAGCACAGACGAAGCGCAAGUGACGGUAUGUGCAGAAGAAGGACCGGCCAACUACGUGCCAGCAGCCGCGGUAAUACGUAGGGUCCGAGCGUUGUCCGGAAUUACUGGGCGUAAAGAGCUCGUAGGUGGUUUGUCGCGUUGUUCGUGAAAACUCACAGCUUAACUGUGGGCGUGCGGGCGAUACGGGCAGACUUGAGUACUGCAGGGGAGACUGGAAUUCCUGGUGUAGCGGUGGAAUGCGCAGAUAUCAGGAGGAACACCGGUGGCGAAGGCGGGUCUCUGGGCAGUAACUGACGCUGAGGAGCGAAAGCGUGGGGAGCGAACAGGAUUAGAUACCCUGGUAGUCC
rnacentral:rRNA from 1 species